CGGUGUCUGUCUCCAUGCAGGAUAGUGGAUUCUGGAGCCAGGAAGCCAGAGAUUGCUGCUCAUAGGACAGAGGCUGCGUACCUUCUCAGCAUCUUUGUAUUGUCCUCAGCUCAACAAUAUCCUUUUCAUUUGGAUUAUGGUGUGUGGAACUGAACUCAAUACUCCAGGAUAGAGUCCCAUCUCAACCAGGCUCUCUGAGGCACCCAUGGUCGUUUGUAUCAAUGCCUGCCGGAGAUGCCACUGGCUUCAGCCUUUGCUCAAAAAGAGCAGCUCCACCUCUCAGCCGCUUGCCUGCCCGGGCUGCCCCCAGCAGCUGUUUCCCAGCCAGCCCCAGGCACGGCUCACUGCCAGGGAGCAGAAGAACAUGCCUGAGUGAAUCCUUGCAGUCCUCUUUGUCUCUACUGGGGAUUACUCCACUGCGUCCACAGCACAGCCGCUGCUGGAGAGAGCGCUGCCGGGUCUGCUCACGUGGCAGGCUCGCUCGGAGCUGGGAAGCCAGUUGCCUCCUUGUGGACAAAGGCCUAACACUGUGACCUACGGAGUCCACAUUCCCCUGUUUGAAAGACAGAUAAUAACUUACUAAAAUAAAAUUUUGAUGCAUUUUUCAAUUUCUGACAUAACAUUCAAAUAACCCUAUUCUGAAGACAGUGUAAAAAUCACUAAAAUGAAUCUUCACGUUGCAUUUUUUUUCAGUUUGCUGGCUACUCAUUCCUAUGAAAUGUCUUUACAAGUUUAGCUUUAUAUGAUUGAGGUGAAACAGCACAAAACAUUCAAUUUCCUGUUAUAGUAGGUAUCUUGUUACUAACGGUGUCUUAGGACUCAAAUCAGAACAAAAAAAUAUCUUUACUAAUUUCCUUCCUUAACAACAUUCUGUGACUUGCUUCCUUUCAAAUCUCCUUUCGGAUGUAUAACUUUUCUAAUUUAGUGUGACUCUCCUUAUUUUCAAAAUAUACAUUCGAAUUUAUUUUCAAAUGUAUAUUUUACCUAAUUUACUGUUUCUCUUCCUAGUCUCGAAAUGUAUACACCUGAAUCACAUUUCAAAUGUAUGUUAUUGUCAUCAUCCAUUUGAAGUUUUGCUUCUUACUUGUCAAUUCAAGCACCCCCCUGCUAGCUGGAUCCCCAUACUGUUUCUGACAAUGUUGGGGGGUCUUGAAUUGUUCUCCAGUAUAAAAGGGAGCACAUAAAAGUGGUGGAUCGAGAACGGAUGUGUGUCCAGUUUAUGACUCAUCGCCAAUCUAGCUCAUUUCUUCCUACAUAGAGAUCUCACAUAACCAACGAAAGCUAUGUUUCAAAAUCAUCUGGGUCUGUGGUCUUAGUUCCACUUCCUCUAGUUAAGCCCUACUUACCUCUUACUCUUGGGUUAAGCAUCGCUUCCUCAGGGAAUCCUUCUCUGACCACAUCCUACCCUCACCACAAACUGAUCCAGACACUCCAGUUAUGUAAUCCAGCCUCUUAUGCUUUUCACCAUAGUGUUUAUUACAAUUUUUUAUUUAUGAUUCUCAGCACUUAUUUGAUUAAUGUCUAUCUCCCUUCACUAGACUCUUAAACUCAUUGAGGAGACUGAUAUUCUCUUACGCCCAUGUCCUGAGCCUAGAAUAAGGCUUGGCUCAUAGUAGGGAUUCAUUAAAUAUUUAGUGAAUAAAUGAAUAAAUAAAUGAAUGAAUAAAGAGAUGAAAAAAUGAAAGAAUGACUACGGUUCUGGUCACUAGAACCAUGACCAGCACGUGGUGGCGCUCAAUAAAAUGACAGCCGAUAUUAUCAUUGUGAGUCUCCACUCCAGAGCAAAUCAAUUUGCUGAGUGUUUCAGUUUGUUGAAAUUGAAUGGCUUCAAUUCGAUGAUUAUGGCUUCAGAAACUGAAAGUUAUGUGCUCCUUCAGGUAUGCUGUUUCCUGUAGUUGAAUUGUUUUCUGUAGCUUUGCAAUAGACAGAUA